GCCUACGGGGGGCAGCAGUAGGGAAUCUUCCACAGUGGGCGAAAGCCUGAUGGAGCAACGCCGCGUGGGUGAAGAAGGUCUUCGGAUCGUAAAACCCUGUUGUUAGAGAAGAAAGUGCGUGAGAGUAACUGUUCACGUUUCGACGGUAUCUAACCAGAAAGCCACGGCUAACUACGUGCCAGCAGCCGCGGUAAUACGUAGGUGGCAAGCGUAAUCCGGAUUUAUUGGGCGUAAAGGGAACGCAGGCGGUCUUUUAAGUCUGAUGUGAAAGCCUUCGGCUUAACCGGAGUAGUGCAUUGGAAACU
rnacentral:rRNA from 1 species